GGAAUAUUGGACAAUGGGUGAAAGCCUGAUCCAGCCAUCCCGCGUGAAGGAUGACGGUCCUAUGGAUUGUAAACUUCUUUUGUAUAGGGAUAAACCUAGAUACGUGUAUCUAGCUGAAGGUACUAUACGAAUAAGCACCGGCUAACUCCGUGCCAGCAGCCGCGGUAAUACGGAGGGUGCAAGCGUUAUCCGGAUUUAUUGGGUUUAAAGGGUCCGUAGGCGGACCGAUAAGUCAGUGGUGAAAUCUCAUAGCUUAACUAUGAAACUGCCAUUGAUACUGUCGGUCUUGAGUAAAUUAGAGGUAGCUGGAAUAAGUAGUGUAGCGGUGAAAUGCAUAGAUAUUACUUAGAACACCAAUUGCGAAGGCAGGUUACCAUGAUUUAACUGACGCUGAGGGACGAAAGCGUGGGUAGCGAACAGGAUUAGAUACCCUGG
rnacentral:rRNA from 1 species